rnacentral:rRNA from 1 species
AGAGCGUAGGGUGGAUGCCUAGGCACUGACAGCCGAAGAAAGACGUGACAAGCUGCGAAAAGCUGCGGGGAGAAGCACAUAUUCAGUGAUCCGCAGAUGUCUGAAUGGGGAAACCCACUUGGAAGAACUCCAAGUAUCUGUACGCCAAUACAUAACGUACAGAGGGGAACCCGGUGAACUGAAACAUCUAAGUAGCCGGAGGAAAAGAAAACAACAGUGAUUGCGAAAGUAGCGGCGAGCGAAAUCGUAAGAGCCCAAACCGUGGUGCGUGCACUGCGGGGUAGAGGACUGCAAUACGAGUAAGAUAUAUUACCUGAACCGUUUUGGAAAAGCGGGCCAAAGAGCGUGAGAGCCGUGUAAGGGAAAAUAUAUUGAAUCCAGCAGUAUCCGGAGUACCACGAGACACGAGAAACCUUGUGGGAAGCAGGGGGGACCACCCCCCAAGGCUAAAUACUAGUCAGUGACCGAUAGCGUAUAGUACUGUGAAGGAAAGGUGAAAAGAACCCCGGGAGGGGAGUGAAAAAGAACCUGAAACCCUAUGUUUACAAACUGUGGAACACCGAAAGGUGAACCGCGUACUUUUUGUAGAACGGUCCGGCGAGUUACAUGUACAGGCGAGGUUAAGUAUUAAAGAUACGGAGCCGAAGGGAAACCAAGUCUUAAUAGGGCGAUAAUAGUCAGUAUGUGUAGACCCGAAACCGGGUGAUCUAUCCAUGUCCAGGUUGAAGUUCGCGUAAAAGUGAAUGGAGGACCGAACGCACAUCCGUUGAAAAGGGUGGCGAUGAGGUGUGGAUAGGGGAGAAAUUCCAAUCGAACCCGGAGAUAGCUGGUUCUCCUCGAAAUAGCUUUAGGGCUAGCCUCGACUUAGUCAGACGGAGGUAGAGCACUGAAUUCCUGAGGGGGCGUCAAAGCCUACCAAGGGAUAUCAAACUGCGAAUGCCGCACUGAUGAUGGUCGGGAGUCAGACUGUACGAGAUAAGUUGGACAGUCAAAAGGGAAAGAGCCCAGACCUACAGCUAAGGUCCCAAAAUACGUGUUAAGUGGAAAAGGAUGUGGGAUUUCGAAGACAGCUAGGAUGUUGGCUUAGAAGCAGCCAUACAUUAAAAGAGUGCGUAACAGCUCACUAGUCGAGAGGUCCUGCGCCGAAAAUGUCCGGGGCUAAACACAACACCGAAGCCUAGGAAUGUAGUAAUACAUUGGUAGAGGAGCAUUCUUAGAGGCGUAGAAGCCAUACCGGAAGGAAUGGUGGAGUAAUAAGAAGAGAGAAUGCCGGAAUGAGUAGCGAGAAAGAGGUGAGAAUCCUCUUGGCCGAAUAUCUAAGGUUUCCUGAGUAAAGCUGAUCUACUCAGGGUAAGUCGGGGCCUAAGGCAAGGUCGAAAGACGUAGUCGAUGGAUAACAGGUACAGAUUCCUGUACUACAUAUAAUCAGAACUGUGGGGACACGGAGACUAAAACCGAACCCGGGAGGACAAAAACCGGGGCAAGCGAAGUACCUGUAUGGGAGGAAAAACCACCAUGCAAUGGGAAAACGUGAUGCGUACCGAAAAUUAGUAGGGAAGUCGGUUAGGGAGCCGUCAAGAAAAGCCGCUAUUGUGUUAUAUGUACCCGUACCGCAAACCGACACAGGUAGAUGAGGAGAGAAUCCUAAGGCCGGCGGGAGAAGCAUUGUUAAGGAACUCGGCAAAAUGACCCCGUAACUUCGGGAGAAGGGGUGCCACUUUAAUAGAGUGGUCGCAGAAAAAAGGCUCAAGCAACUGUUUAGCAAAAACACAGGUCUAUGCGAAACCGCAAGGUGAAGUAUAUGGGCUGACGCCUGCCCGGUGCCGGAAGGUUAAGAGGAGAAGUCAGGAAACGAAGCUUUGAAUUGAAGCCCCGGUAAACGGCGGCCGUAACUAUAACGGUCCUAAGGUAGCGAAAUUCCUUGUCGGGUAAGUUCCGACCCGCACGAAAGGCGUAAUGAUUUGAGCGCUGUCUCAACAAUGCACCCGGUGAAAUUGAAGUACCAGUGAAGAUGCUGGUUACCCGCGCCAGGACGGAAAGACCCCAUGGAGCUUUACUCCAGUUUGGUACUGGGAUUCGGUAAUACUCGUACAGGAUAGGUGGGAGACGUAGAAGUAUAGACGCCAGUUUAUGCAGAGUCGCCGUUGGGAUACCACCCCUGUAUUGCUGGAUUUCUAACCUGCGGCCGUUAUCCGGCCGGGGGACAAUGCCA